GGACCCGCACAAGCGGUGGAGUAUGUGGUUUAAUUCGAUGCAACACGAAGAACCUUACCAGGGUUUGAAAUCAUUUCAAAACUCCUUGAAAGAGGAGCCUCCUUCGGGAUGAAAUGACAGGUGGUGCAUGGCUGUCGUCAGCUCGUGUUGUGAAAUGUCGAGUUAAGUCUCGUAACGAGCGCAACCCAUGUCUCUUGUUGCUCACUGAGUGCUUAAGAGAGACUGCCGACCAACAUCGGAGGAAGGUGUGGAUGAUGUCAAGUCAGCAUGCCCCUUACAUCCUGGGCUACACACGUACUACAAUGGUAAGGACAAUGAGCUGCGAUCCUGCGAAGGCUAGCCAAUCUCAAAAACUCGGUCUCAGUUCGGAUUGCAGGCUGCAACUCGCCUGCAUGAAGUUGGAAUC
rnacentral:rRNA from 1 species